UCAUCCUUCCCUCGAUACGAAGACUGUUUCUUUUGUCCAGGCCCAUUUGCUUAUGUGUCUGAGCCAACAUUAAACUCACCAUAGAUAACUAAGCGAUCCUUUUUCAUCCCGAUAAAGCACCUCCAAUUGAUUUUCUGUAACGCAUUCGAUUCUCACUAAUUUCUUGCAUUAACAUCUUCAUCCCACUCCCCCUCACUCUGUAUCAUUAUUGGAGCUCAGUAUAAAUUUGCAUGGCUACAACGAUGAAGAAGGCCAUAUCUACAAAAUCUAUCACUAUCUCUGCUAAUUACCAGCUCCUACAGUGGCGAAUUCCUUUCUCUGGUUGCUGAUUUAGAAGCUGGGUCGCUGUUUCGGAGAUCCAUCUUCUGAGGUUUUGGGAGGCUCGGAUUGGUCUCAAGAUGUGGAUGCUCUAGCUCCCUCAUUCUUCAGCGGCAAAGACAAAUCUCUAGGCUCUCUCUCUUUCUCUCUCGAUAUUUUUCCACCAGAUUGGGUUUUUGUGUAACUUUUAUUGUCUUUUGUGUGUAUGUACAAGAAAUUUGAGCAACAAGAUCCGGAAGCAAUCAAGCCUUGGAGAGCAAAGCUAGAAGUAAGGUUCGCUGGGACCGCUACCAAUAGUGGUGGACGGCGAUGACAGACGAAGGAGAAGGGAUAACAUCGUCACAAUUAUAUUUCACAUGAUUCACCACUACCUAACCUCCCAUCAAGAUCGACGGUGAUAAGAUAUUAUGCAUGAAUUCCUUUCUCCUGAUUUGAUAACGGUGGAACAGAUUA